CCUACGGGUGGCAGCAGUGGGGAAUAUUGCACAAUGGGGGAAACCCUGAUGCAGCGACGCCGCGUGAGUGAAGAAGUAAUUCGUUACGGAAAGCUCUAUCAGCAGGGAAGAAAUACUGACCUUACGGUCAGCAGACGGUACCUGAGUAGGAAGCGCCGGGUAACUACGUGCCAGCAGCCGCGGGAAUACGUAGGGGGCCAGCGUUAUACGGAUUUACUGGGUGUAAAGGGAGCGUAGACGGUGCGCCAAGUCUGGAGUGAAAGACCGCAGCUUAACUGCGGAACUGCUUUGGAAACUGGCGAACUAGAGUGCGGGAGGGGUAAGCGGAAUUCGUGGUGUAGCGGUGAAAUGCGUAGAUAUUAGGAGGAACACCGGUGGCGAAGGCGGCUUACUGGACCGUAACUGACGUUGAGGCUCGAAAGCGUGGGGAGCAAACAGGAUUAGAUACCCGAGUAGUC
rnacentral:rRNA from 1 species